rnacentral:rRNA from 1 species
UAGUACGGCGAGCGAAGCGGGAAGAGCUCAAAUUUGAAAGCUGGCGUCUUCGGCGUCCGCGUUGUAAUCUCGAGACGUGUUUUCCGUGCGGCUCUAUGGACAAGUCCCUUGGAACAGGGCAUCGUAGAGGGUGAAAAUCCCGUACUUGCCAUGGAAGUACCGUGCUUUGUGAUACACGCUCCAAGAGUCGAGUAGUUUGGGAAUGCAGCUCAAAAUGGGUGGUAAAUGCCAUCUAAGGCUAAAUAUUGGGGAGAGACCGAUAGCGAACAAGUACAGUGAUGGAAAGAUGAAAAGAACUUUGAAAAGAGAGUUAAACAGUACGUGAAAUUGCCAAAAGGGAAGGGUAGGAGGUCAGAGAUGCGUCUUGGGAUUCAGCCUUGCUUUUGCAUGGCGUUUUUCCCAAGUUGCAGGCCAACGUCGGUUUUGGGCACCGGAGAAGGGUAGGAGGAACGUGGCACCUCUCGGGGUGUGUUAUAGCCUCCUACUGGAUACAGCGACCGAGACCGAGGAACGCAGCGUACUCGUAAGAGCGGGCCUUUUGGCACCUUUACGCUUAGGGCGUUGGCAUAAUGGCCCUCUACCACCCGUCUUGA